rnacentral:rRNA from 1 species
UACAGGGGGUGCAAACGUUGCUCGGAAUCAUUGGGCGUAAAGAGCUCGUAGGCGGCUUGGCAAGUCGGGUGUGAAACCUCCAGGCUCAACCUGGAGACGCCACUCGAUACUGCCAUGGCUAGAGUCCGGUAGGGGACCACGGAAUUCCUGGUGUAGCGGUGAAAUGCGCAGAUAUCAGGAGGAACACCGGUGGCGAAGGCGGAUCUCUGGGCCAUUACUGACGCUGAGGAGCGAAAGCGUGGGGAGCGAACAGG